rnacentral:lncRNA from 1 species
CAUUAUUUUCGAACUUGUUUAAUUAAGAAGUUUUAUGUAUUGGUUCUUUGUCCUUUUAAUUUAAUUUGCUGUAUGUGCACAUUCUAUCACAUCCAAUUUACAGAAUCAAUGAUUCUGUGUUGAGGAUAGAAACAUAGCACAAGUAAAAUAGAAUGCAUAAUUGUUAAAAAAAUAGCUAAUCUUAUAUGCAAGUCUUUGACAUCACUUUUACCACUACAAUCAACAUAAGGUAUAUGAUUGUCUUGAAAGAGAAUAAAUCAUGAAUCACUACUUAGCAGUCACUCGACAUGCCGAUCUUAUCACCAGAUCUGAAUAGAGUAUAAUCAUGUCAAUGAAAAACACCUUGGCAUGCCAUGAAUAGUGUUAAAUUUUAAAUAUAAAUUUUUUAACAAAAAUAUUGUUCUUCAUCUCUGCAGUUGAUGAAAUGUAUCUUGCUUCUCUUAUCAACAAAGGCCGUGAAGUUUAUUCAAAAGGAACCACUGAUCCUACAGCUCUUCCUGCGGAAACAGUUUUACAAAUGGCAACGAUAAAUGGGGCAAAGUCAGUACUUUGGGACAGAGAAAUAGGUUCUCUUGAAGUUGGGAAAAAGGUGUUUAGCUUUAAGCUUUAAUAUAUGAGCUUUUAAUAUUUUUUUGGACAAAAUGUGCUCGAGUGCUGCCAGGAUUCACCUGACAGAACUUUCUUCUUAUAUUUGUUUUGCUUUGGGAAAAUAUGUUUCUUGAAAUACUGCAACUUGAUUAGGUUUAAAAUAUAUUUUCUGAAAUAAUAUUUUGUUAAAGUCACAGGUAACUUGUCUAGGUGAUGAUACUGUUAGAUUCACUUCUCAAAUAUUGGCACAAUUUCUGAUUGCGUUAAGUUAGAUUAACAAUUUUAUAUAUCUGUAAAGGGUAUGUUUAACGAAACAGAUAAUUCCAAUUAGCUAAAAGUUGCAUUGACUCGUAUUGUUUUAUAUUACGUUUUUCCUCUCGCAUGUUAGACUUUGACCUUCAAAUUUCAUAUCUUUCCCACUUUAUCUUCUCUUUGUGAAUCCUAAAUAUCCUGCACCUGUUAUUGAUUUUGUGCCUUUAUGCUACAGGCUGACAUGAUCGUGGUCAAUCCUUUCUCGUGGACUAUGGUUCCUUUUCACGACUGGUAUGACUGCACAGAGCACAGUAUAUUUUUCCUUUUAUCUUAAUUAUAGAACUUAGAAGACAUUUUUAUCUUUUGCGGAGCCAGGCUGCCAGCCUUUUCUAAGUGAGGUCCUAAUGCUUAUCAACUGAUAAAUAAACUUAGGCAUUUGACACUACUUGAGUCUAAUUAUUAAUGCAGCAUUUCCAGCCUUGUAUAUUCAAUGAGAUCUGAAAACGUGAUAUCAGUUAUGUGCAAUGGGCGCUGGAUAAUGAAGGAUCAGAAAAUAUUAAAUGUCAAUGAGGUACUUCUUACUAACAUAAAUCCCACAUCUAUGAGAUUACAGAAAUGCGACUAGAUGCUUUUAUGUAUUUAUCACUGAUAAUGUUUGAUUGUUAAUCAUGCACCGGGUGCCAUUCUAGAUGAGGUUUUAAUUAAGGGGGCUACAGUAUUUAACACGGAAACAUCUUGUGUGCAGGAAGAAAUUAUUUCGAUGGCGAGAUCUGCCUCCACUGAACUCUUGAAGAGGGCAGGCAAUCAGAUUCCAAGUAAAAUGAAUUUUGUUUAGCUGUCGGGUUUCAAGUAUUGCUUAGCAAAUUCUCAAAUGCAUGAAUUAUUAACUUCAUUGUAUCUUUUGUUGUUGUAUUGAUGAUUUGUAGUUUUUGUGUUUUGUUGUAUAAAGUUAUAGUUUAUGUCUGUAUUCGAUUGGAAUUUUAAUAGAUUGUUUUUUAUCAAUGAAUUUUAAUGGAUUGUACUAUGUGAUUUUGAUUUUGUGUGGAUUCUUGAUAAAAUAUCAUAGAGUUGAUAUAUAGAACCUUCAGGAUUUAAGUACAAUGUUUCGUAAUCCCAUGAAUUUUGUUGGGAUUUUAAAAAACUUAAAAUAGGUCGAGAAAUCCCACGAAAUUCUAUCAUUUUAUGAAAUCCAAAAAAACAACCACCAUUUGAAUACUAUCAGAUUUUAAUGGAUUUAAAACAAUCUCAGUUAAAUACCAUCAAAUUUUAAAGUAUAAUUUAAAAUCCCAAUUGAACACCACCCGAUUUUAUGGCAUAAUUUAAAAUCUCAGUUGAAUACCUGAAAUUUUUAAUGGAUUUUAAACAAUCUCAAUUGAAUAUCCUCAGAUUUCAUGCAAAAAAAUCCUUUGAAAUCCCAAUUUAAUACACUCCUGAAUUUUUAAAAUCUAAAUAGGGAAACUCCUUUUUUGGGAUGACAAAUAAUUUUUUUAAUAUAAUAAUAAUAAUAAUAAUAAUAAUAAUAAUAAUUGUAUUGUUAUAAAAAGAUUUUUAUUCUGGUUGAGAAUUUGUAAUGUAACAAUUAUUAUAUCAACAGAAUUCAAAUAAAUCAUAUUGAUAUCUAAGUCAAAUUCACGUAAUUACCAUAAAAACGGAGUAGGACGAUGCAACACAACAAACUAACGGGGGUGUAUUCGAUUGGGAUUUUAAUGGAUUGUUUUUAGUCUAUGAAUUUUAAUGGAUUGUAUGUGAUUUUGAUUUUGUGCGGAUUCUUAAUAAAAUGUCGCAGAAUUUAUAGGAUUUAGGUACAAUGCUUCAAAAUCCCAUUGAUUUUGGUGGGAUUUCAAAAUACUUAAAAUACACUGAAAAAUACCACAAAAUCCAUCAUUUUCUGAAAUGAAAAAAAAUCCAUCAGCAUUUGAAUACCAUUAGAUUUUAUUGGAUCUUAAACAAUCCCAAUUGAAUACCAUCGGAUUUUAAAGCAUAAUUUAAAAUCUCAAUUGAAUACUGUGACAGCCCUCAAAUCCGGGGGUCUGGAUUUGGUGCCAAUAAAAUAAAAACAAUUUAAAUCCGGUAAAUUCUGAAAGAAAGUAAAAACAAAUAUUUCAAAACCCUGAUUUUUUUUUUCUUCUUUUCUUAAAUAUGGUUUUGAAGAGAGACAAAUUUGAACCUUUUAAAACACUUUUGAAAAACUGUAUUUCUGAAAACCAAAUAACUUAAAACCUGAAGCAUUAAUAAAAGGUUUAAUUGGAAACACUUUAACCCCCUAAAAACAGGAUCGCAUCCAGGUUACAGUAUUGAAAUCAGAAAACACCCAACCUGAUCUCUGAUGUAUAACUUAACCACUUGCAAUCCUUGCAGCUUAGCAUCACUCUCAAGCGCAGCCUAAUCAGUAAUUCAUCUCUGUCCUUAGCUGAAAGGUUUAGAAUUGAAAAGCAAGAAUGAGCUAAAAUGCUCAGCAAGUUCUAGUAGUAAAAUAGUUUGUAUAAAGAUAAUUUGCAAGGUUGAGCUAUGAAUCGCUCAGCAGUGCCAACUUGAAUAAACGAGAGAUAUAAUCGAAAAACAUUUUAUAAGAGCAAGAGUAUAGAAAUCAUGCAUGCUUUGAAUAUAAAGCAGUAAACCAUCAUUUGACAUAAAAACCAUGUAUGCUUUGAGUAUAAAGCCUUAAGUCAUCAUUUGAUAUAAAACUGGAAAUCACCUUUAACUAGCAUGCUUUUAAAACAUAAGAGAUCAUAUCAUUUUUAAGCUCAGAAUUUUUCUCUGGCAUGCUAUAAGAGAAUUGAAUCUCAAAACGAAUUAUCAGAUAUAUUCGGACGCUAACAGGUGAAGAUAGCUGAUCAGUCUAUCAACACCGGACGGCGAUGAGGCCAUCACGAAUAAAUGUUCCGGAACCUAAAGACUAGCUAGGUCUUUAGCACGCUGGACUAGGGGGUUUAACAAUGUGCACCACCCCGACUUAGCCUCUUACGGAACCACAUGCUGGGUCGUUAUCAAAUUACGGAACCUCUUACGCAGCUCCAAAUAGAGAUAUCUGAUCCAUUUCCAGUUUCCAAUUUGAUUUGUAUCUAUCCCAUUUUCAAAACCAUUACAUGAUAUUCAUGAAUCAAUACCAUGUCUCAAAGAAUUAUACCACAGGUUUAGCAAUGAUAAUCACUAAACAUUUUCCAACACAUCAAAAGUUUAGCAAUGAUAAUCACUAAACAUUUUCCGAAUUAAAAUCUCAUUCGGGAUAGAUAAUCACAAGAUACUAUUCCCCUAAACCACAUUUUAAAAGAUAUUGAAAUCCAUAGAAACAGGGGAAUACGUACUUAAAACAUUUGAUAUUUGAGAUGCAUUCUUGCUCUACUUUAUUAAUAUAUAAUCUGAACCACCAGAGAUAUGGUCAGAAGUACUUGCAGAGAUUUUAAAAUAUGAAUAUGGACACUUCUUUUGGAUAAAAGAGGAGUAUACUUGAUCUUUCAAAUAUAAGAGAAAGGUAGGAAUACUUGCACUUUCAAAUAUAUAAGAGAGAAAUGAGAAUACUUGCCUUUGGUCCUUAGCUUAUACACUCUUAGCUAACAUCCUUAUCUUAUUCUGCUUUCUCAAGACAUCACCCUCAACUAUUCCUGAUUCUCUGCUAUGGCGCUCAUGCGGUUGCUGCAGCCUGAUACGAAUCUUAUCUAAGUUCCGUCUUGAUCCCCAACGUCUGGUUCUACUCGUCUCGAACAAUCCGUAACUACUGAACCGCUAUACAACUCUCACCUUUUCUUGCCUUUGCUUGGUAUCACGCCCUCAAUGCUCGAUCCUAUUAUAAGCAAAAAGAUACUACUUUAGUAUCCUUCCGAAACGACUAUCCUAUUUCUACCCUUUCGUGAUAUAUAUAUACAUAUAUAUACAUGGCACAUUAUAUAGCACAUAACAAGUAGCACACGUUAUAGUUUUACAACUUACAACCAACUCAGAAUAUUAUUUAACACGAGAACGCGUAACUUAAGUUAAUACUUCUACAGAAAAUUCGGCAUGACCUACUCGUAAAUAGGACUAUCCCCUUGUUUUCAAAUCAAUCAAAUCAAGCUCUUUAAACUAAAUAAAAUACUAAUAUAAAGAAAAUCUGCCUCGACAUGCAGUAAAUCACAUAAGAAAAGUACCUGCCCCGACAUGCGGCACCUAACACAUAAUGAUAAAUAAUCCGCCCAGACAUGCGGCACCUAAACACAUAAUGAUUGAAAGAAACUAACAGCUUAUCUUUAAAACGGAAAGUAAUUCAAUAUUAAUACAUUAUACUAUCAAGAAUAACACUCUAACAUUUAACACGUAGCACUUAGCAGGUAUCACAUAUUUCCAUACAUUUACUUACCACUUACCAUAAUACUCAAUUUAGAUACUAUUACAAGUUGAAUUAAAUAAGCAUAGCACUAUAAUUGUUUAAGAUAUCGCAUAUUUAUAUUAUUAAUAUUAUUAUUUACUAUUAUUACUACUAGUGGAAGUAAUAAUAAUAAUAAAGAAUAAUACUAAUAUUUAUUAAUAUUCGACAUCCUAAAAUUACCAAGUAAACACAGUUUCACACAUUAACAGCAACAAUAAUGCUAUGCAGUACUGCUAUUACUACCAAAUCACAUAAAUAUUAUUUAUAGAUUUUAUAGAAAUAUCACAAAUCAGUAACUAUGUAAAUUUGAUUAAUAGUCCGAUAAUUAUAGGAUACACCCCCGUAUAAUUUUAAGAUCUAAAUUUUAUUUAAAAAUCGGCCAGUACCUCCUCUAUAUAUCGGACUACCAGUCGAUAUCAUAUCGACACAACAAAUCCCAAUAACCUGUAAUCAAACUCCAAUAAUCCAAAUUACAAAUACCAACCAAUCCACUAAAUAAUCCCAACAAAUUUAUAAUCAAUCCGAACAACUUGCUUUAUAACUACUAUCCAAAAUUAAUAUUCAAUCCAACGAACCAACAACUGAAAUAAUAAAUAAAAAUCGUAUAAAAAUCAGUUUAUGACUCGAGCCACUCGAAUAAUCUACUCAGCCACGUUUAGUCAACACACGGCCAACCCGGCCCCACACGAACACAUACCCACACAACACACGCACACACAGAACGCACACAUACACCCCCCGCACCAAUACACACCUCUGUUACACACAUAGCCGCACACACUAAUACACACACGAGAUACACACACUCACCCCAGCACACACUCACGCACUGAUUAUACACACAGACACGCAGCACAUAUAUGUAUACCUAUACACAGCAGCAAAACGACGGGAGAAAGGGGUGAGGCCGGCGGCGAGCGAACCCGCGACCGGGAACAGCGGCCGGAGACGCGGCCGGGCAGAGAUUGCCGGAAGGCAGCGAAGAAGGGCGGCCGAGGGGGAAGAAGCGGAGAGAAGGAGAUGCGCGAGGGAGAGAAAAACCGAGAGAGAGAGACUGAGGUUGCGUGGGAGAGACGAAGGAGAGUGAGAGAGCGAGAGGCGGUGAGAGAUUGUGUGAGAGAGAGUGUGGAGAGAGAUACAGGUGAGAGAUUGUUAUUUUUGGUGUGAAAAGAAACAGAGUUGAACUGAUUAAAAUGGAGAGGCUGCCACGUUUUACAAAAUAAGCCACGUACCCCUUUUGGGGCCGGUUCCGGACUGAAUUAACAAAUUAACAAACAAACUUGCAGAUAAAAAUGAUCCAGAUAAAUACCGAAAUAAUUUUAAAAAUCUCAAAAUAAUUGAAAACAUAUAAAAUAUGAUUUUCAUGAUUUUUGGAUCAUUUUUGAAAUUAGUAGAAACACCC